rnacentral:lncRNA from 1 species
GUACUCAGAGGUGCACAUGGUGUUGAGAUGCCAAGGCAGUGCUUGCUGGGAGCUGCUCGGGGACUCAUACGGAGAGCUUGGUUCUGUUUCUCUAGGCCUGGCCUCUCCUCUCUCUAGAACUUCACAACUGGGUCUUAAAAUUUCUGCUCGGAAUUCCUCCUGCAUGCCUAAUGGGCAUUUUAAAAUUAAUUGGGCUGAACAGAACUCAUGAUCAACUUUGUAUCCCAACCCUCAAAGGAAAGGAACGAGUUAUGUCCUCAUGAGUCAUCCUCAUAGCCGGGCAUGGCACCAGGUUGCACUCAACUACCCAGGUCAAAAAUAAUCAGGUACGGGAGUCUUACCUUCCCCCAACUUUUCUAAUUCAAAGUGAGCCCUACCUAGUCUCCUUCCAAGGCAUAUCCAGCUCCGCCCUUUUCUUGCUCUGUCUUUUACGCUAGCUCUGUUUUUAGCUAGUGUAAGCCACCAUGUUCUCUGGCCCAGACUUCUACCAAGAACCUUCUAAUGGCUUACUCUUCCUUUUUCAAGAGCAGCCAUGCCCAGCUUGACACCCCUCACCCCAUCCCUCUCCCCCCAGAGCACUUCCAUCACACUUAGCAUGCAAAGCCAGGGGCCUUCCUAAGGUCCUUCCUGAGUGCCUUACCCACUUAGAUCUUGAACACUCACCCACCGGGCUCCUGCCCGCACCACACACUCAGCCCUUCUGCCUGUCCUAUGAACCUUGCUUUCAGGCUCCUCUGUCCUCAAAGCUGCCUUUCGUGUUAGAUACUUUCCUGAAUCCCCGAGGAAGAGCAACUUAGGGGAUGAAACGUUUAUUUGGGCUGCAAUUUGAGGGAUGGAGUCCGUUAUGGUGAGGAAGGCCUGGCACUGGCCAGGCAGCAGAGUGUGGACAGGUGGUGAGGAUGGGCUAUAGAACCUUAAGAUCUCUUCACAGUGACCUCCUUCUGUCAGCAGCUCCUAAAGGUUCCACAGCUUUCAAAAAAAGCUCAACCAACUGGGAUGUCAACCAAAUGUUCAAGUACACAGCCUGGGGGGCGGGGGGGGGGCACAUUUCACAUUCAAACCGCAAGUGCUUCCUUGAUGCAUCUAACUCCCAGAUGUCGGCUCUUCAGAGAAGCAGCUCUAGAUCUGUCUUUGUGGCUAUGGCACUGCAAGGUGGGCAUGUUCGCUCUACCAUGGCCUGAAAUCACUGGAGCCAAACGCUGGAUGAACCAUGAAAGAAACCUCUGAAGCUGAGCUCCCUCCCAGCAGACUUGAGACAAUUGGCCUCUGGCCAUUGGUUUUCUUUUGCUUUAGAAGUAGCGAGUCCUCUUGGUUGGAGGGAGCCUCCUUAGUGUCGACAGAGCUAUCUGGUUAUUUUUGCUUUCUUCUCUCUGUCCUUCAUGGUCUUCUUUCAUUUGAGUGGAUGGAAAACCUCCUAAUGAUAUCUUAAAAUGUUGUUUUCCUCUCA